GACGAAGGAUGCAAGCGUUAUCCGGAUUCAUUGGGUUUAAAGGGCGCGUAGGCGGCUUGGCAAGUGGAAGGUGAAACCCCUCGGCUUAACCGAGGAACUGCCCUCCAAACUGCUUGGCUUGAGACCGGGAGAGGUGAGUGGAAUUCCCAGUGUAGCGGUGAAAUGCGUAGAUAUUGGGAGGAACACCAGUGGCGAAGGCGGCUCACUGGACCGGUACUGACGCUGAUGCGCGAAAGCGUGGGGAGCAAACGGG
rnacentral:rRNA from 1 species